CAGCCACAUCACGUUGAAACACAGGUUCCCCUUAUGAUCAUUGAAGUUAAGCAACAUCAAGCCUGGUCAGUACCUAGAUGGGUGACCACUUGGAAAUACCAGCUGCUGUAA